GCUCCUCACUAUGGCAAGGGCCUCAAGUACGAAUCCCUCAUUUGAAACACGGAAAGCGGGAAUGGAGAGAGAGAGAGAGAGAGAGAGAGAGAGAGGAUGCUCUGUGCUUUUGGCCAUGGGUGGUAUCCAAUGGUAGUCACACUCAAAGUAGACCUACUGAAAACAAUGAACCUCAAAGGCCGUCUCAGCCUCUGCCUGCACAACGGAUCCCUGCAUUCUGCACAUCCCAUCCUGCCUGGAGGUGUCCAUUGAGCACAGUGUCAGAAUCUAGCCUUUAGCUUGGUGGCUCCUGCUCCUUGGAACUUGAAGAAGACAGGCAUUUUCUUGAUUGCGUUUUAGGCGCCUGCCAAAGGCAUUCCUCUUCCUGCAAGCUUCUAAAUGGAGAUCUUUAUCCCAGUUGGUAUCAUUAUUGGAUUUGAAUUGGUUUUAUGUACAUGCUCAUGUUGAUGUUAAACUGUAUAUGUGUGUGUGUAUAAUGUAUUUUUCCUAUAGUUUUUUAUAUGUAUACAAUUGCUUUGACAGUUUUUAUAUAUGAAGCUGUUUUGGUAUGUUUUGAUUCCACUGUAAAUCGCUUUGGGGUGCGUUAUGAGCUGCAAUUUAUAAUGAAAUACUGUAAUUUAAUUCAGUGGGACUACUCAAACAUAGGCAUUCCAGCAAAGGUUUGGGUUAAGGAUUUACCUCUGGGAGACUGCAGAGAUUCUGAAGGUCAGUGCCCCAGAACAAUUGGAGACCAAUUCUGUUUCUGCCCAGUUAUUUGUUUUGUGUCCCCACCCACCCACCCACUCACUCACUCACCCCCAAC